CUUUCAACAACGGAUCUCUUGGUUCCAGCAUCGAUGAAGAACGCAGCGAAAUGCGAUAAAUAAUGUGAAUUGCAGAAUUCAGUGAAUCAUCGAAUCUUUGAACGCACAUUGCGCCCUUCGGUAUUCCGGGGGGCAUGCCUGUUCGAGCGUCAUUACACCCCUCAAGCGUAGCUUGGUAUU
rnacentral:rRNA from 5 species